rnacentral:rRNA from 1 species
GUCUAUGGCCAUACCACCCUGAAUCUGCCCGAUCUUGUCUGAUCUCGGAAACUAAGCAGGGUCGGGCCUAGUUAGUACUUGGAUGGGAGAAAAUUCAAGAAGACUUUGAGGGAAGGUGGAGGGUGGAUU